rnacentral:misc_RNA from 1 species
GGUUAAAGGGUUUACGAUGAACCUGUAAGUUGUGAGUUCGAAUCCCGUCAGAGGUUUCACAAUUUUUAACUCUACAAAUAUUUUUUAAAGCUAUUUUUUCGUUAAAUGUUGUAAAAUUUGAAAAUUCUAAACCGGUGAAAGUAUUUCAAUUACAUGUACUAUAAUCCAUGGCCAUAUUAAUAUUGGCAGAUGUCCCAUACCACCUUAGAAUUAGUUUGAUAGGUUUGAUUCCAGAACAAAAUUUGUACUGUGAUACAGACUGCAUUUCUAAGUCAAUGAGUUGUAAUUGACAAAGAUUCUAGUCCUGGCAAGACAAGUAGAUAGGAAAUCACAGAUUUUUUUCACACUAAUGAGCUAAGCAAAUGAUUCUGAGUGUCUAUAUUAUUGAGAUGAAGUGUUCAUGUUAUGCUUGUAUUUUAAAUGGUUAUGUGUACUUUUAUUUUGCCUAUAAAAUAGCAUUUAUAAAGACAAGUAAUUUAUGGCACAAUUUUAAAAGUUCAUAUUGUUAAAGCUUUGCUAUUCAUAAUGUUAAAGAUAAAUGAUUGAAAUC